rnacentral:lncRNA from 11 species
GUCCUUCCCAAUAAUAAAGGAAGGCAUUGUCACACAUAUUUGUUUUUUUUUUCCCAGAUGGAAAAAAAUGGAACCAGAAGAUUUGACAUCUGGAAUCUGGACUACCUCCCAAGUUGAAUAUUAUUUCAGAAUAUCAGAAUGGACUUUUCAUUAUUGACGUGAAACAGGGGUCCUGUUGAAAACAUCUGCUAAAAUUUCCUUCUCCCCCAGAAGAUGGAUCACUGUGAUGUAGAUGGAGUAUGGAAUAGAGCACAUAAUAAACACAGGCCAAGGAAGCAGCUGAAAGCCUUAAAAUGCUGUUCUUCACAGCCAUGCUCAGGAGAUGGAUGGGUGAUGAUUACUGUUG